GUUUAAAUUAUGUUUCUUAAUUAAUUAAAUAAUUAAUAUUUAUGUUUAAUCAGGGGUUCGUGAUAUCUGUGGCAGGGAUCUUUUAAGCGAACCCAGGUGAUGACAUGUGAUUAUAGGGAUUAUGGGACGGAGUGAUCAUGAUGUAUUUAGCUAGUAGACAUUGACUUUCCUUUUGACAUGUGUAUAUAUUUAUGGACAUUUGAUAUGGAAACUGGAAUUUAUCUUUGUUUA